rnacentral:rRNA from 1 species
UGCAGUCGANCGAUGACCCGGUGCUUGCACCGGUGAUUAGUGGCGAACGGGUGAGUAACACGUGAGUAACCUGCCCUUGACUCUGGGAUAAGCCUGGGAAACUGGGUCUAAUACCGGAUAUGACCUUCCAUCGCAUGGUGGUUGGUGGAAAGCUUUUGUGGUUUUGGAUGGACUCGCGGCCUAUCAGCUUGUUGGUGAGGUAAUGGCUUACCAAGGCGACGACGGGUAGCCGGCCUGAGAGGGUGACCGGCCACACUGGGACUGAGACACGGCCCAGACUCCUACGGGAGGCAGCAGUGGGGAAUAUUGCACAAUGGGCGCAAGCCUGAUGCAGCGACGCCGCGUGAGGGAUGACGGCCUUCGGGUUGUAAACCUCUUUCAGUAGGGAAGAAGCGAAAGUGACGGUACCUGCAGAAGAAGCGCCGGCUAACUACGUGCCAGCAGCCGCGGUAAUACGUAGGGCGCAAGCGUUAUCCGGAAUUAUUGGGCGUAAAGAGCUCGUAGGCGGUUUGUCGCGUCUGCCGUGAAAGUCCGGGGCUCAACUCCGGAUCUGCGGUGGGUACGGGCAGACUAGAGUGAUGUAGGGGAGACUGGAAUUCCUGGUGUAGCGGUGAAAUGCGCAGAUAUCAGGAGGAACACCGAUGGCGAAGGCAGGUCUCUGGGCAUUAACUGACGCUGAGGAGCGAAAGCAUGGGGAGCGAACAGGAUUAGAUACCCUGGUAGUCCAUGCCGUAAACGUUGGGCACUAGGUGUGGGGGACAUUCCACGUUUUCCGCGCCGUAGCUAACGCAUUAAGUGCCCCGCCUGGGGAGUACGGCCGCAAGGCUAAAACUCAAAGGAAUUGACGGGGGCCCGCACAAGCGGCGGAGCAUGCGGAUUAAUUCGAUGCAACGCGAAGAACCUUACCAAGGCUUGACAUGGACCGGACCGCCGCAGAAAUGUGGUUUCCCCUUUGGGGCUGGUUUACAGGUGGUGCAUGGUUGUCGUCAGCUCGUGUCGUGAGAUGUUGGGUUAAGUCCCGCAACGAGCGCAACCCUCGUUCUAUGUUGCCAGCACGUGAUGGUGGGGACUCAUAGGAGACUGCCGGGGUCAACUCGGAGGAAGGUGGGGACGACGUCAAAUCAUCAUGCCCCUUAUGUCUUGGGCUUCACGCAUGCUACAAUGGCCGGUACAAAGGGUUGCGAUACUGUGAGGUGGAGCUAAUCCCAAAAAGCCGGUCUCAGUUCGGAUUGGGGUCUGCAACUCGACCCCAUGAAGUCGGAGUCGCUAGUNNUCGCAGAUCAG